UUGUUCCUCACUACUUAUUCGACAGAUAACCCACCGGAAUGAUGUGAAAUAACUACACACCACUAGCAGGGAUGACAUGAUCCAAAUUGAAAAAAAGCUAGGAGUUUCAUCAGCUGGGUGUACUUUGCAUGUUCUUGCUGAAAUGCCUCUGAACUUGUGGUGAAACCAUUGGAUGCAGUUUAAUUCUUGGAAUAAUUUUAAAACCACCACUUCUGACAGCCAGGGGCAUUGACAAAUCACUGUUUAGUGUGGCUGUGUGUGGUGUUUGCUUCCACAACGCCUCCUCAAAGGUGUGUGCCAGCCCACCAGUCAUAGUCCCCUCCAUGGUGGUUCUAUGGCUUGCAAGGAACCACAGCUACAGGACUUUACAGCUCAGCAGAGAGAUACAGCAGACCAUGAUGCAGUGGAAGAAGCAGCAAGCUGGGAUCAAGGAGGCAUGGAGAGCUGUUGCAAGUAGCUUGAAGUUGUAGCCAUAUGUGAAAACACCACCAGUUCUGAAAAUGGACCAUGGAUUUGCAAUGAUUAGUGGGACAACCAGAAAGGAAUGGAGAGAUACUGGAGAGCCCUCCCCACCAUCUGCACACUGGAGCCAUUUGCACUGUGGGAUUCCCUAGUUUCUAGCAUUACAAAAAUAAUCAACACCAAAUGAAAAAGUAUUUACUCUUAAAAUCUCAAUAUAAAAGGAACCUCAUAUAUAAGUGACCCUUUCUCCCCCUACGUUUAUAUAUACUUCCAUAAUGCUGAACUGAUUUCUUCAUUUCUUUGCCUUCCAUUAAAACAAACAAGCAAGCAAAACCAGUCCAAGUUUUAUGUAAAGGACUUGCUGCAUAAACUCCAUGAUUCACCGUCUUGGUGGGCACUGCAUUCCCAAAUACUAGGCCCAACAGCAGGAAUUCUGGUCCACAAGCAACUUCCUACAGUCUCAUGGAGAUGCAAGAGAUUCAGAGAGAUCCUACCUUCUCAGGCACUCCUGCACUUGGCUUGGAAGGGGAUCCAGCCACACAGACUUGGAGGGAGUAGUCCCUGCAGGGUUGGUUAGGUGCUAGGAAAGAGGAUCUGCCCACUUUUGGAGAUGGAGAGCCUGUGACUGACCUGCAGUUGCCAACCAGACCACCAUCAUUUGAAAUUCAGUCUGCUGCCAGCAGAUAACCUUGUAUUCAGGCUGACAGAGAUUUCAGACUCUUCUCAUCCUGAAUUGGUAUCUGUUCCUGUUUGCACAUAGCCCCAUAAUGGGAUCUGGUCCUGAUUAAGGCCAGUUGUAAAUAACGUGUAAAUAUCAGCAGAGAGCUUUUUAGAAGAGCUAAUAAAAAGAACCAGCAGCAUGCAGACAACAUGGACACAGGCACAGAGGCUGGUCCCACAACCCAGUCCUUUACACAGCUGGAAGGUCACAAACCAGACAGUGAAGAGGACUAAAGUGAACUGAAAGAGAAUCUUUCCUUCCUUCCCCCUUCCCCAUUUUCUGCUUUUGCUGAUUGCAGCAGAAGCCAAAAGCAAACAGUUAUCCAAAUCUGGCACAUUGCAUUCAGAAAGGAGUUUAUCUGAGCAGGUAAUGCAGUACCAAGCCCAGAAAACCACUCUCACAUUUCACCUCUCCCCAGAAUUUCAAAAUACCUAUUCACCUCCAGGCAGUAGCAGCAGGGAGGGUGGCAUGGGUAUGGCCAAGUAUGUGCUGCGAUGUGAUUUGGGACCUUUAGAGCCACCCAAAGCUGAGUGUUUCUGAAGUGAGGGUGUGGGGCAGCAACUUUUCUGUACAGUCACCAUAAUAAAGCUUCCUCUUGUUCUCCACCACACCAAUUAUUGCUGUGUUGCACAGUGUGCUCUAGGCUGCACUUCUCUACUAACCUUAAAAAAGCUUAUUGAAUCCAUGUGAUAGGAGGCCUUAGAUUAAUAUAUUUUCACAUAAAUAGCAUUUUGGCUAUUUUAUAAUAUUGUAAAGUGGUUUAGUGUUAAAGGUUUCUUUCUUGUUUAUCUAUUUUCUUGUUUCCUUCAUUUGAAAAUUCUUCCCUGCUUAGGAGCAAGAUGUUGUAACUUUUUUUUUUGGAACUAGGAGAAACAGUCACAGCAGAAUUGAGCUCUGUUGCUAGUGAGGGGAUAGAGGAAGAAAGAUUGGGAGUGCAGAAUAUUUUUCAUUUGAUUAGGUCACGUAUUACAUUGGCUUGUAAUACCCACUUGCAGUCAGAAUUGGCCAGUUCAUUGGCACCUGAGUUGACUAGACUGCAUCCACAGCUGUUAACCAGCACUUCACCUUGGCAGAGGGAAGAAGAGACAGGAAUGGGAAAGUCUUGUUGGAAUAAACCUGAUGAAUAAGCAAAAGUUUGUUUAAAAAAUCAGUGGGAGACGUCUGUUAUUCACCAGGUAGCUCAACACACAACUCAAAGACUUGGGUGGUGCAAUAGCAGGUCAGAAGGGCUACUUGCUCCAACUUCUCUUAAAUGGAAGCAAAUAGAGCUACAUCUACAUAGUGGUCUUGCUGUUGGCACCCACUGCAGGCAGAGGCUGACAGGGUAGAACAAAGGUGGGUUUAGAGAGGAAAGCAUGGAUUGUGUGCUGGAUCUGGUCACCAAGCAAGAAGAUUCAAAAUACAAAGGAAGAAAGAGAAAAAGUCAGGACUAAUUCACUAUUCAUCUUGCAGUAGGGAAGAAAAGAAAAGGAAAAAAAAAAAUAAAGAGGUGGAAUAAAUCCAAAGAUUCUAUAAAAGAUACUUGAAUUUGCUGGUGUUCUGAAUUGGGUAGGGAAUAUUAUCUGUGGAAGUCAUUUUGCUUAAGGCAUUGUUGGAUGUCACAGGCAAUGAGGUUUCUUGUAUACAAUUUUUUAAAGCAUUCCUCACAGACUGAAGUUGGGAUGCCUGUGAGAUGCGGAAGAGAGUGAGAGUAAACUCAGUCAGGAUUACAAGGACUUUUUGCUAAAAGCAGAAUCAAUAUUCAUCCACAGCAACACAUACAGAUGUGGAUCUGUGCAUGCCUCCCUUGAACACCCCACCUUGGGUGGCCCUGCUUUGCUGUUCUGGCACAGAUGUGUGUUAUUGAACAGAUGUCAGCUUGUAAGCUCCCCUAAGCAGCUCCAUUUUCCAAUCAGAAUUGUAACUGGAAUUAUGUACAGCAGAUAAUUACAGCGUUUAUAAAAGGGGAGUCUAAAAAACUGGCCUCGCAGCUCAGCGAAUUGAGGUCACCCAUCAAGCUGCUGCCCUCCCCUCCUGCUUUUUUUCCAAAAAGCCAGAUGACUUUAUUAGAAUCAGCCGCUGAAUAGAUACCAUUGAUACAAGCCAGGAAAGACAGCUAGGAUACUCCUUUGUCACUAACUUACUGUUUGACCAGAGAACAAACCAAUGCUUGCUGUAUCGUCAAACAGGUAACGGUCUCUUGUGCAAUUAUAACAAAUUAUUAUAAUAGUUAUUAUAAUAAUUUAUCGAUAUUUGUCCCUUAAGCCAGCUCCUUCAUCAUGUUUAUCACUGUCAGCUCUGUGACUGUCUUGUUGAGAUCAUAAGCAUUUUGGGAGGGAAUGUCUGUGUUGUAUGCAGCACUGGUCACCUUACUCAUGUCUAAUGAGCCUGGUAAUUAUAUUGCAUCUCUGAAGUCAUCUAUUAGUAACAGGAGAAAAAGUUGUAGUGUCUUGAUCACUAUAUAAUUACUGUAAGGAAUCACAAUAUUAUUUUCCCUGUCCUUGCUGUCAAGACUUGUACAAACAUGUGAAUACAUUGGGACUGGAUUCUCUAUACAGAUGUCUAAUGAGAUGUUGGCAAUUAGUUUAGGCCUCAGUUUGUUACAUACAAUGACCUUGCCUGUCAGCAGGUGUAAACCAACAUAAAAUAGCUGUUGAAAAGCAGACCCAUGAUUAAAGACAGCUAUAUCUAAAGCCAAGAAAUAAUCUUUGGAUAUAGCAUGCCUGGAUAAAAAAAUGCUUUUUGGAUUUAGUCUUCAGUAUACAAUACUAAUAUAAUUAUAACUUCAGAAAAAAAGAAAGAAUAAAACUUGUUAAAUAAACAUCUCUGGGACAGCGAGAACAGAACUUUUAAAUAAAACAAAAUAAAUCUUUGAGCCAAACAAAAAUCUUUUAAAAGGCAAUCCGCAGUACUUGUCUUCAGUUUUAAAUUUUCUUCAUAGCUUCUUUUUUCUUCCAUGCUCAAAUCAUGAUAGGGAGGUAACUGUCUAAUACCAAUAUCAGAGCAUGGCAGAUAGAGGAGAUAUUACUUUGUACAUAUGUUUGUGGUUUGGCUAAGGUCCACUGUUUUUGUAAGAGUUUCAGCUCUAUGCAUUUUGGUAUGUACCCUUGAUUGCAAAUGGUCUGUAGAUGCAAAAGCAUGUACACAAAAUUUUGUGUUAAUAUCUAAAUGGGGCACCGCAAACGCUAAAGGGCCAAAAGACUAAAAUGUGCAAAUAGUCUCAGCUACCCAAAGCGUCUGCAAUGGCAGAAAUUAUGUUCACACGCACAAAGUUCACUGCUAUAACCAGAUCUGUGCCAAUGUAGAAUGCCAGCAAUGCUUCACAUUCAAGAAACAGAUUUGUCUGUUGCAGACUACAGAGUGCAUAUCAUACAUUAACAUGUUUAUGUGCUUACGAACUUGUGUAUAUAAUCUAUACACA